AGAUUUGGUGUAGCGCUCCUGCGGAAGUAUCUACUCGUAACGGAAUUUCAGGUGUCAAAGUGCGGAUCUCAUAUAGUCAAAAUAAGAAGGGACGUGCUAUAUCCGAAACGUACGAAAUAUAGUAAAUAUUUUAAAUGCAGAUGUAGUAGGGGUCGCGAACCGGAUGGUACACAACUUGGUUUUGGAAGAUAUGGCACCAAAAGUUGUAGAGCUGGUCGUCUUUCAUACCGAGCCAUUGAAGCAGCGCGUCGGGCUACAAUCGGACAAUUCCAUCGUGCUAUGAGCGGACAAUUCCGAAGAAAUUGUAAGAUAUGGGUAAGAGUUCUCGCAGAUCUUCCGGUCACUGUCCGUGGAUGUGUCCAUAUAGGGUGGUUUCAAAAUUUUAGGAAAAAAUCCAGCACAUUGACAGAACAUCAAUGUAUGUUGUCAAAAAAAUUCAAAUCAAAAUUCGAAACAUAG
rnacentral:rRNA from 1 species